AUUGAACGCUGGCGGCAGGCUUAACACAUGCAAGUCGAGCGGGGAGAGGUGCUUCGGUACUGAUCCUAGCGGCGGACGGGUGAGUAAUGCUUAGGAAUCUGCCAUUUAGUGGGGGACAACAUUCCGAAAGGAAUGCUAAUACCGCAUACGUCCUACGGGAGAAAGCAGGGGAUCUUCGGACCUUGCGCUAAAUGAUGAGCCUAAGUCGGAUUAGCUAGUGGGUGGGGUAAAGGCCUACCAAGGCGACGAUCUGUAGCGGGUCUGAGAGGAUGAUCAGCCACACUGGGACUGAGACAAGGCCCAGACUCCUAAGGGAGGAAGCAGUGGGGAAUAUUGGACAAUGGGCGGAAGCCUGAUCCAGCCAUGCCGCGUGUGUGAAGAAGGCCUUUUGGUUGUAAAGCACUUUAAGCGAGGAGGAGGCUACCUAGAUUAAUACUCUGGGAUAGUGGACGUUACUCGCAGAAUAAGCACCGGCUAACUCUGUGCCAGCCGCCGCCGUAAUAC
rnacentral:rRNA from 1 species